UACGUAGGGUGCGAGCGUUAAUCGGAAUUACUGGGCGUAAAGCGUGCGCAGGCGGUGAUGUAAGACCGUUGUGAAAUCCCCGGGCUUAACCUGGGAACUGCAUUGGUGACUGCAUCGCUCGAGUAUGGCAGAGGGGGGUAGAAUUCCACGUGUAGCAGUGAAAUGCGUAGAGAUGUGGAGGAAUACCGAUGGCGAAGGCAGCCCCCUGGGUCAAUACUGACGCUCAUGCACGAAAGCGUGGGGAGCAAACAGG
rnacentral:rRNA from 1 species